GAACGAUUGGAGGUGAGGCCUGCCCAGUGGUUGUAUCUCAACCCAUGUUAUUAACGAAGUAACAUGAUUAAGGACAAUUAAAUGGCCGCGGUAAAUCUGACCGUGAUAAAUGUAGCGCAAUCAAUAGCCAAUUAAUUGUUGGCAAGUAUGAAUGGCGUAACGAAUGCCCCACUGUCUCAAGAUAAAAACCAAUGAAAUUGAAAUCGUGGUGAAGAUGCCACGUACAAAUUGUAAGACGAGAAGACCCCCAUUGAGCUUUACUGGAGGCUUAUAUUGUUUUUUUUCAAAUUAAUGUGUAGAUUAUGUGGGUAUAUAAUGAAAAACCACUCAUUAAUUAUAAAAAAACUGAUUGAGUAUACGCCGGACAGUUUGGUUGGGGCGACCACCUUCUAAAAGUAACGAAGGUGUACAUAAGGUAAAUAAUAUAAUAGUAUAAAGCAAAAAGCCUGACAGCAAGGGGUACUCCCGAGCUGACACGGGGAAAAAAAUCCCCGUGGGUUAUAAAUGACCCGUUAGUCAAGAGUGGGUUUGCUAACGAGCAACGAAUAAAAGUUACCAUGGGGAUAACAGCGUAAUAUCGUUCGAGAGUUCAUAUCGACGACGAUGUUUGCGACCUCGAUGUUGAAUUGCGGUAUCCUAGAGGUCGAGCCGCUUCUAAGGGUUGACUGUUCGUCCAUUAAAAGCCUACAUGAUUUGAGUUCAGACCGGCGUGNNNNNNUUUCUAUCUACAAUUUGUUUUGGAAACAUUUAGAUAUAA
rnacentral:rRNA from 1 species